rnacentral:lncRNA from 1 species
AGUCCCGGCUCAGCGUCUGCCCCGGAGAGGCUGCAAGGCAAGAGGAGCAGCGGCGUUAAUCUGCUGAGGGCUGAGAGAAACGUGAGCGUUACCCUGGGCUGGCCCCUUGGCUGCUCUCCCUUACUACGGAGCUGGAAGGUGGCCCCUGACUUCUUUGCAAAGGCCGUAGGCAAGCACCCAAAGCAUAUCAUCAGGUGCCCACAAGGCACAGGACACCAGGCCGACACCUGGAGCUGGGGUGGGGCCUCCUUCAUGCCAGGCCUGGACCAUGAAGAGGAAACCACUUUCUGUCCCCAAGGAGCUCAAGUCUGAUGGGGAAGGAGCCACUGGAGUGGACGGAGUCAGGGCCUGGGAUGCCAACCACAGGACCCAGCUCUGUCAGUGAAGCAGAAAGGUUGUGCCUGGUCUCCCUGCGUCCCAGGCCAAUCCCUCCUCCUGGGUGUGUGAUCUUUGCCUGCUGAAUCCUGUCUUCCAGUUAGCCCGCGAGCUCAGGGAGUCUUCUCUGCAUGUACAGUUAUCUACUCUGUGGGGCAGGACUGUGUGGAAGGGAAACGGAGGCUGCGUGGGAGCCUGGAAGAGGAGGGUGGCACCUAGGCUAUUCCCUCUGCCAGGGAAUUCCUUCGCCCUCGUUCAGAAAACAUCUACCCAUUUGGUAAGAUCAGCUGCCACUCUGUGGUCCCAUCACACUUGGCUCAGCACUCUGCUGAGUCUGUUUACUUCUCUCUGGACCAGGGGUGGCUCAUGGACAGGGACUCCCAGCACUGAGCACCCAGCAGGGGCAGAGAGGUGUCUGCUGGCUGAGUGAAUGACCCUGACCAAAUGGGAAGAGAGACGCCUUCCUGGCCUGGGGGCACUGAGAUGCUGCAGCCUGGCCGCGUGGGGGUCGUCAUCAGCUGAGUCUGCGGUCCCCUGUGGUCACACAGGACCAGGUCCUCCUAGACUCCACAGCCCCCGGCCCAGGGAUGAGGAAGGUGCUGCUCGGCCCACCAUGGGCCACAGCCUUCCUGCUCAGCUCAGCCUCGGUGGUGAAUAACGCUGCCCCUGCUGUGCCACUUCCGGGCUCUCUGGGCUCCCACACUCUGCUGUGGAGGCCCAGGCUGGCUCCCUCUCGGGGUGGGUGCUGCCUCUGGAGGGUGGAGGUGAGGGGAAGGGACUGAGGGUGGCCCUGCGGGGCCUUGAUGGAGCAGCAGUGGGGACCAUGCACCUCUGAGGGUCUGGGUGAGUGGGGGCUGCAGCCAGGCCUGGCUGGCCUGGGGGAUCAGGAGGGUCUGCAAACCAAGCUCUGGGGCUCCCUGAGGUUCCAGGAAGAACCCCGCCUGUCCCAGCAAAGGUGGAUCCAGGAGAGGAGUGGGCUUGGCCACCUCGGCUGCCACCAGAAGCUGCCCCCUCAGCUCCUAUCUGUUCCCCUCUGCCCCGGGAACUUCUGAAACCACUUCCUUCCUCCCUGGACUUCUGCAGGCCGAGGUAUGACUGUUCUGUCUCCCGUUAGCAAGGUCUGCAACAUUGCUCUGAGCAGCAUCCUCCAAUGUGGUGCACCUGCUCGACAGGGGUGCAAAGGUAGGUGCUGGGGUGGGGGCAGUCAUGGACUUGCUCCCCACUCCGAAAAGCUCUCACUCCUCAGGAAAGCUCUCAAAAGCAGAGCCUGCAUCUGACUAGUCUCUGCACCCCAGUGCCUGGCAUAGCUUCUGGCCUCAGGUAGGUUUCAGGUAAGGUCUGAAUGAGUGAUUGAGGGAAACAGGUGCUGGCUUGGAGAAGAUGCUGUGGGAUAGACGGCACUGAGCUGGGUCUUAAAUGGACAGGGUUUGAGCCACCAGCCAUGCAGGAAGGGCUAUCCACAAGCAGAGACUCAAGGUAGGGAAGCACAGAGUGACCAGGGAUGCUACAGUUGGGCCAGCUGGGUGCGGGACGAUGGAGGGAAGAUGUCAAACAGGGAGGAGGAGAAAAAAAUAAUGCAGAGAGGGGCAGGACCGUGGCAACGACUGAACUGAAGUGCUUUAGGCAUUUCCAGAAAUCCAGUGUUCUUCUUCCCUCGGCAGCGCCUACCAGGGAAAGCAAAAGCCUGCAAGCCUGAGUGCCUGGCCCGCUCCUGGCCUGGAAAGAGGAACAGAGGGAGGACGGCGGGGCUGGGUGGUCUCCCGAUCACAAGCAUACAUUUCCCAGGCAUCUGGGCAGUGAUGGAAUUGUCAACCUGGAAGUCACCUCGAAGGAGAAAUGACCAUGUUCCUCAGAUAGAACAGACCCCGGGCCCCAGGGUGGAGCACGCACUAUCCAUGAACUCAGGGUCCUGGGGUGGAGUCCAGGGCCCUGGGUGGCAGGGCCAGGAGGAGCAGCCGGGUCUACACAGGAUGGCACUGUGCAGUGGUGGUGACGCUGAGCAGGGCCUGGUGAGCACUUGCUGGGUGAUCGCCACGUGCUGGCGCUGGCACUGGCACUUCACACUCCUCAUUGCUUUUGAGUUUUGGGAGAGGUGCAGUGAGGUGACCUGCCCAGAGGAGGGAGGCUGAUCUGAUCUGACAUCUGCCAUAGGCCUGUCCUGUCUCACAUUGGUUCCUGGCCUGUGUACUGGGCUCACCUGGAGGCUUUAAAAACAUACUGAGGCUCAGGCUUCACCCCACAAGUUUCUGAUUCAAGAGUAUGUUUUUGCCUUUUUGUUCUCACUCCCAAAGUGUCCGGAUCUGUGCUCAGAGCUCAAAGAAAUUUACUGAAAAAAAUAAAAUUAAGGAACGACAGCUCAAAGAGCCAGCAAUUUAUGCAAAUGAAUGCAAAUAAAUACACACUUCCAUAC